CCUUGGGUUGAAACCCAAGGCUAUUGGCUGUCGUCGCUCCGCGACU
rnacentral:sRNA from 1 species